AUCCCGAAUUAUAGGCACCAAUAAAAGGUUUGGAUAUGUGGUGAGGAAUAGUAGUUAAGUUAAACCGUAAGGUAUAAAUUUGAUACGAAAUGCCGAUUAGUCAAUUUUCGGCAAUUUCUUUUGUCCGUGUAAAAUCAUAAAUCGAAGCUAAGGGGUAAUAAUUUUAUAAAUUACAAAUUAUGGCCUAGAAUAAUUGUUGAUAAUGUGAGGAAUUGUUUUGGGCCAUUUGAAGGUAAUUAAAAAAAUUUCUAUCGCCGAUAAUUUCAGUUUUUAACGAAAACGAUCGCCGAAACUUUUGAAGAUAUAGACAGGAAUAAUUUUGCCUUAAACUAGAAUUUAAAUGCUAAAUGAUGAUAUAAAGAGUUCCUAAAUGUGAUAUCAUAUGAUAGGGCAAUAAAAUGUUACAAGAUAAUUAAUUUAUUUAAAAACUAACUAAAUAAUUAAAUAAUGAUUAGAAUUCUCUAGAGAAUUCUUUUGUCUAUCAUCAACUCCAAACCCCCCCUCAUUUCAGCCACAAGCACGUCCUCCCCCUCUCCAUGGAAGACCAAAAGCUUAAGCUUUUUAAUUUCCAAAUAUUUGUCAUUUAAUCGGUAAAUCGAUCGGGUAAUCUUGUAUCCGCCAGCAAAUCGAGCGAAGGAGCAUAUAGUGCGUUUUGAUCACAAAGGAGUGGAUUUAGAGGGUAGAGAAGUAUCAAGGUGAAAUAGGCUUAUGUUCAUAAGCCUGCGAGGUUAGAGUCGACAUUAUGUCAGUGGUGUUGCGCAGCUUUGCAUCUUUGGCGAGUCACUGGUGGUCAACUUGGUUUAGUAGUCGUGGCAUGUUAUGUAAUAGUUUAAUCUUUAACCUUCCGCUGGAUAAAUGUUAAGUUUUUAAAUGUAAUAGAUUUUAAUUAUGCUUUUAAGCUAAAAAGAAAAAGGAAAAAUUUCAGCACGGGUUUUCGAUACUGAAACGUGACAUCACUUAUUCGGUGGGUUACCUACCGGGUAAGGGGUGUUACAAGUUUUGGUAUCAGAGCCUAGGUUUAGGCGGUUCUGGAAAGAAGUGAUUCAGUAAAGUGUGUAGAAACAUGCCACAUAGGUUUAAUUGUCUGUUAGUACCAGUGACUCGAUGCAGCUGCUUAUGUCUAAAGUGGAAAGAAGUUAACAAGGUACGGGACAUAGUUUCCCGUGUGAUCGAGAAAGAUGUUAUAUGGGACUGGCCACCCCAUAUAGCUCUAAUCUCGGUAGCGUCGGUAUGUGUAAAAGAUUUAAAAAAAAAAAUUCAGGGAGGAUGGGUCUGAAAAUGUUGAUGAAAAGUAUGUCCUAAUGAAAGAUACUAAUAAAUAUAUGCAGAUUAUGAAAGAGUAUAAGUAAAAGAGAAGAAAAUGAGUUAAAGGAAUGAUAUGGAAAGAAAGUAAGUUAUAGACUAAGUGACCAUCAUGAUAUAAAAGUGUAACACGAAAAUUCACAAAGGUAUGUGGAUUGUCUGAUAUAAGAUGGAUUAAGAGUCAUAAAGUAAUAUCCUAUAAUGAUAAACAAAAGUAUAGAAAUAUGUGAAAGGAAAUGUGUUUGGCAAAAUGAUAAAUAUUGAUAUGAAAACAUAUGAAACUAUAAGGCAUUAUAUGAAUAAAACCAUAAAUGUGCGAAUGAGAAAAUGCGACGAAUAAGAAAUAAAUGAUAUGAUCUGAACAUGUGUGCCCCUAUAUGGAUUACAUGUGUACUUCGAAUCGGGCAAUAUGAGAUAUGACGUGAUGUGAUGGAAAUAUGAACUGAAUAAUCGUGCAAGACAAUAAAUUAUAUGAUUGGAAAUGUGAACUCCGUGAGAAUUAUGUGUGCGCUCGAAUACGAGCUAUAUAAAUGUUAGAACCGAAUGAUGAUUCAGAAAUGAAAUGGAAAAUGGGAAUGUAUGCUCUAAGCGAGCUGUAUAGUAUAUGAUAAGAUAUGUCUAAAAAUAUGAGUUUGAAAUUGAGCUAUAUGAUAUAAAAUGGUAUUCUGGUUGAAAGUGUUGUCUGUGAUCUGUAAAUGUGUUAGUUAUGGAUAAGAAUGAGUUUUGAAAAUAAAUAUGGUUGUUGAUGAAUACUGACUUGAUAUUUGAAUUAUGUUGUGAUUUGGUGGUUUGAUUUGAUAAUCUGUGAUUAACAUUGUAUCUUGUUGGUUUUGGGGAAGCACUGGUUAUAGAGAAAACGCUGCCCAAUUUUUGCUAGAAAUUGAUCAGAUAAAUUAAUACGAAGUUGUGGUAAAUAAACUGAUAAGUGAUAAUACAUGAAGAGAAUGAUGUUACAUGAUGACUUAAGAAAGGAAAAAGGGAAAAGAUAAGAAGUGUUGUGAAUGAUAAUAAAGGAAAACGUAAUGAAAUGAUGAUAUGUGGAAAGUGAAAUGCACCCUUCGUCGGCUAUAAGUGCCCGAAUAGGGACUAUGCAAUUGGGACUAUACAAUAUAUGAUGAGUAUGUGAAUUAUACAUAUGCGUGAUGAAUAUGAUAUGUGCGCCUCAUGUGGACAAAGAAAAGAUGCAAAUAACAUGGAAAUUACUAUGUAAAGAAAUGAUAAUGUGACAAAUGUGCUUGAAAUAUAUUAGAGAUAAUGAUAAUAUUAUUAUGUGAUCGCAAAAUGUGGCUAUGUGUUAAGAUGUGAUUAUGUGAUUUUGUAUGUCAUUCUGUGUUUGGUUAUGGAAGUGAGGAUACGCUAUGUAGAUGAGGAUAUAGGAUGUCGUGGAAUGGCAUACGUAUAUGCGACGCUUAUAGGAAUGAUGUAAACCCGAGGGAAUUUCGAGGACGAAAUUCCUUUUAGGGGGGAUGAGUUGUAACAUCCCGAAUUAUAGGCACCAAUAAAAGGUUUGGAUAUGUGGUGAGGAAUAGUAGUUAAGUUAAACCGUAAGGUAUAAAUUUGAUACGAAAUGCCGAUUAGUCAAUUUUCGGCAAUUUCUUUUGUCCGUGUAAAAUCAUAAAUCGAAGCUAAGGGGUAAUAAUUUUAUAAAUUACAAAUUAUGGCCUAGAAUAAUUGUUGAUAAUGUGAGGAAUUGUUUUGGGCCAUUUGAAGGUAAUUAAAAAAAUUUCUAUCGCCGAUAAUUUCAGUUUUUAACGAAAACGAUCGGCGAAACUUUUGAAGAUAUAGACAGGAAUAAUUUUGCCUUAAACUAGAAUUUAAAUGCUAAAUGAUGAUAUAAAGAGUUCCUAAAUGUGAUAUCAUAUGAUAGGGCAAUAAAAUGUUACAAGAUAAUUAAUUUAUUUAAAAACUAACUAAAUAAUUAAAUAAUGAUUAGAAUUCUCUAGAGAAUUCUUUUGUCUAUCAUCAACUCCAAACCCCCCCUCAUUUCAGCCACAAGCACGUCCUCCCCCUCUCCAUGGAAGACCAAAAGCUUAAGCUUUUUAAUUUCCAAAUAUUUGUCAUUUAAUCGGUAAAUCGAUCGGGUAAUCUUGUAUCCGCCAGCAAAUCGAGCGAAGGAGCAUAUAGUGCGUUUUGAUCACAAAGGAGUGGAUUUAGAGGGUAGAGAAGUAUCAAGGUGAAAUAGGCUUAUGUUCAUAAGCCUGCGAGGUUAGAGUCGACAUUAUGUCAGUGGUGUUGCGCAGCUUUGCAUCUUUGGCGAGUCACUGGUGGUCAACUUGGUUUAGUAGUCGUGGCAUGUUAUGUAAUAGUUUAAUCUUUAACCUUCCGCUGGAUAAAUGUUAAGUUUUUAAAUGUAAUAGAUUUUAAUUAUGCUUUUAAGCUAAAAAGAAAAAGGAAAAAUUUCAGCA